rnacentral:rRNA from 1 species
CACAGCCGCGGUAAUGAAGGAAGGGAGCGAAGCGUUAAUCGGAAUUACUGGGCGUAAAGCGUUCGCAGGCGGUUAAGUAAGGCAGAUGUGAAAUCCCCGGGCUCAACCUGGGAACUGCAUUUGGAACUGCAUAACUGGAGUGCGGCAGAGGGGGGUGGAAUUCCAGGUGUAGCAGUGAAUAUGCGUAGAUAUGCGGAGGAACACCGAUGGCGAAGGCAAUCCCCUGGGCCAGCACUGACGCU